UUAGUUUCGUUUUUCAAAUUUACUGCAUCAUUAAUUAAGCAUGCUCAAUCAAGUCGUCAGAUUUUAUGGUGAGUUUUAAUCAAAUUGGGUUCAAUCUUCAUCUUCUCUUGCGAGAAAGGUGGAGUUAGAAAUUGAUGUAAGGUUAGAGGCAUCCGAAGACACCAUAGGUUUGGGGUACGUCCUUGUAAAGGUUGUACAGUUCGCGGAACACAAGAAGGAGCAGAGAGAGUCUCAACAGGUGUUAAUCCUCUUUCUUUUCCCUUUGUUUUUUUAGAGAGAUGUGGUAAUGAUCCUUCCGCAGGUUCACCUACGGAAA
rnacentral:misc_RNA from 1 species